GACGAACGCUGGCGGCGUGCCUAAUACAUGCAAGUCGAACGCUUCUUUCCUAUCGAGUGCUUGCACUCACUUGGAAAGAGGAGUGGCGGACGGGUGAGUAACACGUGGGUAACCUGCCCAUCAGAGGGGGAUAACACUUGGAAACAGGUGCUAAUACCGCAUAACAGUCAACACCGCAUGGUGUUGGAUUGAAAGACGCUUUCGGGUGUCGCUGAUGGAUGGACCCG
rnacentral:rRNA from 1 species